UUGGGAGUCUGGCUCUCGAGAUUCGGAGGGCGGUGCCUCUUCGAUUUUGGAGCAAGCAAUCUUGUUGGGAGUGUUUUCUCGAAUGUGAGUAAAGGUUGGGCAUGUUUGCUAGUCUACCUUGCCACGAAGCACAGAGGUUGACACACAGGGACUUUCCAAUUAUCCAGCAGUGGUACUGUUCCUUUACCCUCUCUUCGAUUUUUUGAGAAAGUAAUCAUGUUGGGAGUCUGGCUCUCGAGAUUCGGAGGGCGGUGCCUCUUCGAUUUUGGAGCAAGCAAUCUUGUUGGGAGUGUUUUCUCGAAUGUGAGUAAAGGUUGGGCAUGUUUGCUAGUCUACCUUGCCACGAAGCACAGAGGUUGACACACAGGGACUUUCCAAUUAUCCAGCAGUGGUACUGUUCCUUUACCCUCUCUUCGAUUUUUGAGAAAGUAAUCAUGUUGGGAGUCUGGCUCUCGAGAUUCGGAGGGGGGUGCCUCUUCGAUUUUGGAGCAAGCAAUCUUGUUGGGAGUGUUUUCUCGAAUGUGAGUAAAGGUUGGGCAUGUUUGCUAGUCUACCUUGCCACGAAGCACAGAGGUUGACACACAGGGACUUUCCAAUUAUCCAGCAGUGGUACUGUUCCUUUACCCUUGUGGGUAAUAAUAUGGUAGCUAGACCUUCAAAAUUUAUGUGUCUAAACUUU
rnacentral:lncRNA from 1 species